rnacentral:lncRNA from 1 species
UUGGACCAAAAAAUAUGUUGUGAUUGUCAGUUUGGAAAAGUUCUAUAGUAUUUGGCCUCGUAUUAUUUUCAUAAAAGAAAACUGAAAUUAUAGACAAACGAAGCCAUAGAGUAUGAUUAUGCAUUUGUGUCUCUUGUGUUCCCCAAAAAAAAAAGUAGCUAAAUCAAUUAAUCAUGUCUGCGACACCAUCGUUACCUAAUUAAAAGAUAAUGCGAAUAAGAUUUGAGAAA